UACGUAGGGCGCAAGCGUUGUCCGGAAUUAUUGGGCGUAAAGAGCUCGUAGGCGGUUUGUCGCGUCUGCUGUGAAAACUCGAGGCUCAACCUCGGGCUUGAAGUGGGUACGGGCAGACUAGAGUGCGGUAGGGGUGACUGGAAUUCCUGGUGUAGCGGUGAAAUGCGCAGAUAUCAGGAAGAACACCCGUGGCGAAGGCGGUUCUCUGGGACGGUACUGACGCUGAGACGCGAAAGCGUGGGGAGCGAACAGG
rnacentral:rRNA from 1 species